CGCAUUUGUACGCACAUGUGUGUGUGUGUGUGUGUGUGUGUGCAUGUCUGUGCUUGGUGUACAGCGCGCGCUCCCCUUUCCAGCUUACGCUCUCGCCGACACACCUCCGCGGAAGCAAGUGCCCGUCUCCUUUAGAGGUACCCGUCGUCGAAGCGAACUUUUAGCUUCGUUGUCUCUCUCUUUCUCCUUCUCACACAAUCACGGAGGGCGCGGGCCACGGAAUGCAGGAGGCGUUUCUCUCCGCUGUGCUGCUCCCUCUCACCGAGAAGAGUGGUGAGGUGGAGAGGAUCGAGGAGCUGCUUAGCAUGCUGGAGCACUGCUUCGUUGAUGCCUUUAAGUUGAGUCCUUCGUCCGGCAACAAGAGUAACGCUGAUCCCCCGACUGGAGCCGGCGCUGUCUCCGGCUCCUUGUUUGCCUCCACCUCCUCAACGUCGCUAGACGCGGGCGAGGAGGCGAAGCUGCUUGCCGUGCGGGCCGUGGCAAACUUCCACCGCACGGGGGCGGCUCGUCACGGCACCUUCUUUCGGACGCGUGACUACCACCCACAUGCGGCCCUCUUUAUUCUCGAGCUUCUCAAGUCUCUCAAUGGUAACUCGAAGCACUGGUUUCGGCAGCUGCAGCUGGACAGCCUAGAUGCCUGCUUGGCCAUUUUGGAGGUGACAGGGACGGAGAACGUGCGACUGUGUCUUCCCGGCGUGGUGUCGGUGGCUGUGCGCUAUAUCCACCGCGCUCAUCACGGCAAGGACUCGACCAAGGUGUGCCUGACCGCGAUCAAGAUGCUUUGCACCGCACUGACGAUUUCGUUUGCCACUGCGGAGCCGGUGACGUGGUUACAGGACACCGCCGUCCACUUAACUAGCGCGCUGCGCUCCAUUUUGGAUCCCUCGGUGCUCGUUCGGAGUGCGCACGCUCCCGUGACGGUCGCCGCGCUGAAGUCGCUCAUUGUCUCGGUGCUGCUGUCGUCGGCCAUGACGGAGCUCGUCAACACGCCUCUGAGUUCGCUGCUGAUGGUGGCCUACGCGAUUGUGGAGAACAUGGAUCACCUGCACCACCUCGGCGACGACGUCGUUGGUGCAGCAGAGGCAACCUCUUCGGUUUUGUGCACCAGCAGCAGUCUGCGCAGCUCUACGGAUGACACAGGCAUGUGCACCUUGAUGGGCAGCUCCUGGGCUGUGCUUGCCGUCUCCGAGGCGCUACAGUACCUGAGAGGGAUGGAGCUGCUUCAUCUCGCCACGACGGUGACACGGUCACCAGGCCUGCGAGACCGCUUUUUCCCCUUGCAAGUGCCGCCGCAGACGGCGUCGUCAACAGCAGAGCCACCGGACGUCAGGGAGUCGGUGGUUGCCAUUUUCUUGUCUGUCGUUCGCAAGUGCGUCCGCGUUGUUGGCACCGAGAUGGACGAGGCGGCCCUGUACACCCACCGCCGCCCGCGCAAAUACCCCGCCGGUGUUGUGGAUGAGUUUCUUUUCUGCCUCGCUGGUGCCCUCGCCAGACUUCCGACGGCCACUAAGCUGGCGCCGGACUGCCGCGUCGGUGCCGACGACCUCGGUGACGGUGACGAGACCGUUGGAGAGCGCUUGACGAACGCGCUGCUCAGCGAGUAUGAAGCAGUGUUGCAGGACUGGGACGCCUAUGCGGUGCACCCAGCCGUGCUGUACGUGCUUUCGCGGCUUGUUGUGUGGCAGUUUCACCCCGCGCAAGCCCUUCACAAUCUGCCACGCUGCUCUCCUCCUCCCACGACGGGUGUGAUGGCCCCCGAUGAUGAGGCGAUGGAGUCUUGCAUGUACCCGCAGCCAGCGGACCUCACUGCGGGGCCGUUCGAGCAGCUCUGGAGCAUUGUGGCGCAGCCCCAUCUCUGGGCCAUCACUAAAGAUGAGGAGCUGUGUACAUAUCAACAAGUGCAUCAUCGGCAAGUGGUCGCUGCCACCCUGCUGCGCUUUCUCGCCUUGUCAGCCGAAGUUCUCGCCUGCGGUGGCGGGGCCACGACCGAGGGGUCGAAUGCGGAGCGGGCCGAGGCCCUCGAGCGUCUCUUCACCUUGACUCUCUACCUUGUCCUCGAGAAGGCCACUGCCAGUGGGAUACUGCAUGAGGCGGCAAUGCACUGCGUCGAGGUGUACAGCGCCGCCUGCGGAGAGGCGGACACGUUACUGUUCCUGCUGCGUCACUCUGCCCUCAUAGUGGAUGAGACGGCGCGGGCAGUGAGAGAGGAGCAUCUGCGGCCUGCGGCAGCAAGUGUUCUGCGCGGCAGUCUCGCUUUGUUGGAGCGUCGCUUCGUUCGAGGCGGAGAGGGCAGCAGCAGUGACCGCGCAGCGUCGGGCCGCAGCGGUGCCAGUCUCACUACUCUCGUGCGUCAACGACUCUCCGUGACCGCGAUGUCGGCCAGCUUCACACGAGCGUCCGCUAAGGCGCCCUCCCUAGAAGAGGUUGCACAGGUGGCUGACUUUGUGGCGAGUACUAUUUACGUGGCGCGUGACACCCUCCAGCUAUGCAGCCGCUACAACAGCACGGCAGCCGCAGAGGAUGUGAUUGGCCGCAGAGCUGCCUUGACCCUCCUGCGCGACGCGUUGGACCUCGCAGCUUACCUCAACUACUGUGUUCCCCAGGAGGCUAUGGAUGAAGAGCAGGAGCGUCGCACCACCUCGGCACACACUCGCGUGCGGGCACUUCAGUUGGUGGUGCUGGAGGCUGUGUACGCGGUGUUGCAGCACUGCACGCUGCACGACCAAGUCGCUGUUACUGCUGUUCAGACAGCGGUGCGCGGCCUCACGUGUUUCCUGACAACCACUGCCGCACUGACAUGGGCCGAUGUGACGCGGAAGCGCCUCAUUGAUGAGGCGGCAGAGCGUCGCCGGUCGACGCAGUGCAGUCGACGCGGCGGGCAAAAAGCGCGCCUCAUGGCGAGCGAGGUAGAAGAGGAUGACGCGGCCGAGGAUGAAUGUGACGACGACCCCGGCAGGACUCCCCUUCCAACCCCGCCUCCCGUUGACUGGCCAUGGACGCAUUAUGCGCCGACUGCCGUGGCCGCGGCGGAGGCAGCGACCAGCGUCAACAUUGGGCUUCCUCGCAGCCACCUCCACACCGUCUACCGCGUGUACCUCUCCUUCUUUGCGCUGCUGCGAGAACCCAUGGCUGCCUUUGGGGCUGUCGCAGCCGAGCCACACGCCCGUGCUGGAAUGGAGCGGCGCAAGCUGGGCGACGUCGCCGUUUCCCCGGUGCUGUUUGAGACGCUGAACGGGCUCGAGGCGAUUCGCCUGCUCGCCUGCGAUUUUCUGCUGCAUCGCAUGGUGGAGGAGGUGCUACCGCUGGUUCUCUUGUGGCACGAGCGGGCGUGUCUCUCCCGCAUUCCGACCCACACGGAGGAGCGUGCCAAGCUGGCGACGCAGCAGUUUGUGGAGCGCCUCUACGAGGACUGUAAGGACUCUGUCGACUUGCAAGAGUCGAUGAUGGCCAAGUGCCGCUGCUUCGAUUUGCUCCCUACCCCGUCUCAAGAGCCGGUGCUUUCUUAUCCCCAGCCGUGACGCUGGUCAGCCUGACAGACAAGCGCACAGCAUCUGCAGUGUCUGCUGUCCCCCAACACUCACAUAAAAGAACACUAAUGCGACUAUCAGUCUUUAGACAGUGUGCGGCGGGCAUAUGUGCUUGUGUGUGGUCUCUGCCCCACCCCCCAUUCCUGCAUUGACCCGCACCACUGUCAGUGACUUGGUGUUUUGGGCUUUCGUGACGUCGAUCUGCCCCACCCGGCCCUUCCUCUCUCCCGCGUGCCAGCUUCUCAGACAACGGCGGUGCG
rnacentral:misc_RNA from 1 species